AAUGUAUACUAAUAACCUUCUAGGUUAUCACUGAACUGAUUUGUUGUGUUGCGCAGUCUUACAUGUUUGGCUCCCGGGACUUUUUCUGUUGACUAGAGCAGCUUUCAGCUGGGUCAAAGAACGGAAUUGUCAGCUUUGAUGACAUAAGAUGUACACCUCUUCGAGGUUUUGUUUUUUAGUUUUGUUAAAUCACUGAGCUGAUUUGUUGUGUUGCGCAGAAACGAUAACAAUUAUACAAAGUUCUUGAGUUCAUUUAUUCAUUUGUUGCAAAGACCAGAUGACUACAUAACAAAAAUGGUGGUAAUAAAAAACACCUAAGCACUUAUCGCUUUUAAAUAAAUACCGAUAAGUAUCCAUAUAAGGCCUCCCGUUCUCUACAUGGAUUGCAAGUAAUCUGAAUUGCCGAGACUAGAAAUGUGACGGCAAAUACUUAUGCGUGACAAGAGUUUUCUCAUGCGAAUCAUAACAACACAAGGGCUCUCUAUUGCUUAUCUUUCGCCACACAUGCUUUCUUAUGUCUGUCGUGUUUUCGGGGUUUUCGUGCCGGAAAAACUAUCAAAGCCUACAAGUAGGCUAUAAUAAACACAUAGAAAAAGUGAAGCGACGAAAACAUAACACCGGAAGUCUUAACUAAAAAUAGGCAAGGUCCUGGUGCAAUAAUCGAGCAUAAAUUAUUAACCUGAAACAAGUCUUAACUGAACACUUCACGGAAUCAGAGGGACAAUACUUGCAUUUAAUGCUGAUACUUACUAGGAUAUUCAUGCAACAUGUCAUGCCGAGGGUUUAAAGAAUCCCGUCUAAUAACUUGAGCGACUACACCAAGACCAACGCGUCGAAUCGAAAAUGCACCGUUGUGUGCAUAUUGUUAUACAAUGUAUAUUAUGUACAACCCUAUUUUAGUAAUAUUGAACAAUCGAAGAUAUAAUACUUACAAUACGCUGGGGCGCAGUUAGAAAUAAAAAUCGAUUAAAACGUG